ACGAACGCUGGCGGCAGGCUUAACACAUGCAAGUCGAGCGAAGACUUCGGUCUUAGCGGCGGACGGGUGAGUAACGCGUGGGAACGUGCCUUUCACUACGGAAUAGUCCCGGGAAACUGGGUUUAAUACCGUAUACGCCCUUCGGGGGAAAGAAUUUCGGUGAGAGAUCGGCCCGCGUCUGAUUAGGUAGUUGGUGGGGUAAUGGCCUACCAAGCCGACGAUCAGUAGCUGGUUUGAGAGGAUGAUCAGCCACACUGGGACUGAGACACGGCCCAGACUCCUACGGGAGGCAGCAGUGAGGAAUCUUGGACAAUGGGGGCAACCCUGAUCCAGCCAUGCCGCGUGAACGAUGAAGGCCUUAGGGUUGUAAAGUUCUUUCAACGGUGAAGAUAAUGACGGUAGCCGUAGAAGAAACCCCGGCUAACUCCGUGCCAGCAGCCGCGGUAAUACGGAGGGGGUUAGCGUUGUUCGGAAUUACUGGGCGUAAAGCGCACGUAGGCGGACUAUUAAGUCAGGGGUGAAAUCCCGGGGCUCAACCCCGGAACUGCCUUUGAUACUGGUAGUCUAGAGUUCGAGAGAGGUGAGUGGAAUUCCGAGUGUAGAGGUGAAAUUCGUAGAUAUUCGGAGGAACACCAGUGGCGAAGGCGGCUCACUGGCUCGAUACUGACGCUGAGGUGCGAAAGC
rnacentral:rRNA from 1 species